UACGUAGGCAGCAAGCGUUGUUCGGAGUUACUGGGCGUAAAGAGUGCGUAGGCGGUCCUGUAAGUUUGGUGUGAAAUCUCCCGGCUCAACUGGGAGGGUGCGCCGAAGACUGCAGGGCUUGAGUAUGGGAGAGGUAAGCGGAAUUCCUGGUGUAGCGGUGGAAUGCGCAGAUAUCAGGAGGAACACCGAUGGCGAAGGCAGCUCGCUGGGACGGUACUGACGCUGAGGCGCGAAAGCGUGGGGAGCGAACAGG
rnacentral:rRNA from 1 species